rnacentral:rRNA from 1 species
AUACGGAGGGAGCGAGCGUUAAUCGGAAUUACUGGGCGUAAAGCGCGCGUAGGCGGCUUUGUAAGUCGGAUGUGAAAGCCCUGGGCUUAACCUGGGAAUGGCAUUCGAUACUGCAGAGCUAGAGUAUGGUAGAGGGAAGUGGAAUUUCCGGUGUAGCGGUGAAAUGCGUAGAUAUCGGAAGGAACACCAGUGGCGAAGGCGACUUCCUGGGCCAAUACUGACGCUGAGGUGCGAAAGCGUGGGGAGCAAACAGGAUUAGAAACCCCUGUAGUCC